UACGAGGGGUGCACGUUAUCGGAAUACUGGGCGUAAAGCGUGCGCAGGCGGUGAUGUAAGACAGAUGUGAAAUCCCCGGGCUCAACCUGGGAACUGCAUUUGUGACUGCAUCGCUGGAGUGCGGCAGAGGGGGAUGGAAUUCCGCGUGUAGCAGUGAAAUGCGUAGAUAUGCGGAGGAACACCGAUGGCGAAGGCAAUCCCCUGGGCCUGCACUGACGCUCAUGCACGAAAGCGUGGGGAGCAAACAGG
rnacentral:rRNA from 1 species